UGUAAUAAAAACCAGGCGUGCCAUUUUGGAGGCUAGAAAGUGACGUCUCAUUUGCUGCCAAGACUGCCAAAGGUGCUGCUGGUGGAGGGGGAAAUCUUACAUUAUAAGGAAUGAAUUAAAUCUUGGAUCCAGACAGGGAGCUUAGAUGCUCACUGCUUUCAUGAGGCUUCAAGCAGAACCAAACACACCUUUGUUAGAUCGGCUCCAACGGUAAAAGCCCAUGCGAAAUCGGCAUCACUGCCAGCUGCCAUGUUCCAUAAACUGAGGCACAUUUUUCCAGUGUUAAGGUGUCACCAAACAAAUGUUGAGGCCGUAUGCUCAGCAGAAGGCACACGUGUCUGGGAAUAACAUUAAGAAAGCAAGAAAGACAAAAAAAAUAGUGUUAAAGAGAUAACACGUCCUGAGCAUAUUUGCGACGCACAUUUGAAUUGAUUACAGUUAUGGGGGGAGAAAACAAAGCACCACUGCCAUUACAGAUGUCUUUUGUUUUUGUUUCUACUUUUCAUGUUUCCAAACGUAAUCUUUAGUUCAUAUCAGAAUAUGUCAAUUACUGUAACGCUAAAGAAGAACUGUACGUUUUUCGCAGUCCUACAUACUGGUGCACACAUUUUAAACUUUUUGCCAUCCUACAUAUGUCAUUGAAGUACCUCAUAGACACAAAAACAAAACACUUUAUUAAUAUUAACAAAGAGAAAUGAAGGACUAUAUGUGAAUAAACAUUUGUUAGCAACACACUGCAACACUGAACUAAAUAGGAAAUGUGGAAAAUGGAUCACAAAAUAAAUAGUUUUCACAUAUUGUUUCUCUUACAGUAGUCUUUUGGAGUUAUUGUCAACAAAAUGCACAGUGGACUAAUAAAUAUACUUUUUCUAUUUUAGAAUUGUUUUUAGCCUUUAAAGAGGCUAUUUCAAAUUAGCUUUUCAUUCAGAACCUGUGAAAUAAAAAAUAUUCUUGCUGAAUCAAUAUUAGCUGGUUUAUUAACUGACUACUCACAAAUAGGAUAAAAAUGCCCAAUAAAUAACCUGAAUUUAUUUGAUUUCCAUCCAUCCAUCCAUUUUCUAACACCCUUGUGGUUUUUCUGGUUCCUUUUUAUACGCUUCUACAAAUUUUCUCGGAAAGGGAUGAAUCUGCAACUUGGAAAUGGUUCAUGUCACCCCAGAAGCAUAUUUUGGAAAUGACCAUAUCACAGAUAGUGUCUCACAAACCAAAGCAGACAUUGGAUCAGAUGAGAACCUGACUUCAAAAGUCGCCUAAUGUGCCAAAUCUGUCACGACCAACUCGGAUCUCCAACCAAGUGGAAAACAUGACCUCAGUUAAAAUAGCGGUUUCACAACAUGCUGAGCAGAAAUACUUCAUACUUAUAAAGGACAAACCACUAAUGCAAUGUCGGGUAAAUGAACUUUACAAGGUGAACUCUUUAUUCUCAUUUGGCUGCACUUGUUCAGUGGAAUAGCAAAUGUUCACCUCUUAUUUCAAAUGACUGACAGUUCAACUAAAGUUUUUGCUUUGCAUACAAACCUGAGGAAGACUAAGUUGGAGUUAAUGCUGACUAAUCUUGGAAAACUGUCUGUUGUCUUGGUUUGGUUUCAUUUUUAGUCUCUAGGGUAAAGGGUUACAAUAAAAAAACAACAACAACAACAACAAAGAAACAUAUUGACCUCUUUACAGACGAACUAUCGUAAUGGUCUUUGUAACCGGGUGGUCUAUAACGGUGUUUAUAUAAAGUGGCUGUAAAUUCCCACCCGUUUCUGGCCCUUGAAUGCAUCAUGCCCCGUUUUCCCACCUUCACUUCCGUUUGCAGCAUUGUCGGGCUCAUUAGUGCGUAUAUAGGCACCAGGUGUGCCCGCCAAGUUUAGAGAGUCGGAUCCAUUGUGGUGUGCAGUUGGAUCUGUUGGAUGAGCGCUGGCGCCAAGAUUUGGAUCCUGCACAUUUGUGCUGAUGGAUGCAUUUCAGUGGUUCUUUGCUGCAGCAUCUGAGGAUACGCUGUUGUGUGGCUGAUUAAGGUAACAGUUUUUCAUCUUGCCUUGAGUGGUUUUAUUAUUGUCAGCAGACACCUUACCUUUAUUUUUGGUAUUGCUGAUGUUGCAUAUUGUGCUCUCACCUGGGUGCAUUUUUUUUUUCCAGUUUAAAAUGAGUCUUAUUAUGAAGUCAUGAUUAAAAGCAAGCAGAAAUGAGAUGUGUAGUGACUAUUUGUCUCAAACUCAAAAUUCCAAAAUCAAAAAACUCAAGAGUCAAAAGUGAUCAAAGCAAAGUGAAUUGAACUCAAAUUGUCACCUGAUGCACCGUGGGUUUCUGGCUUAUGCAGUUCAAAAAAUGGAUCAAAACAGUCAAAAUGCAGCUCUUUCGUUAGUUUAUUCCAAUUUCCAGAUAAAAACAAGUUGCAGGCUUCACAGGAUCCUACUAGUUCUCCUGUUCUGACUCCUGCACCUGUUCUCUCACUGAUUGACUAACUGGGACUGACUGAUACUGGCACUGGUAAAAAAAACCCACAUAACCAUCCAUGUGCAUAAUGACCUAACUAAAACCUACUGUUACGGCUGCAGUGGGUCUCUGCCCUUUUUUCCUUGUAGGGUUCUGGAGACAGGCCUUCUGCAAGUGUUAUGUUUUUCCCUGAUUGGUGCUCUGCUGCUUUAAAAGCUGCCAUGCUGCAACAGACAGCAGGCUUUCUCCAUCUCCCUCCUCAGAACCCCAUUUGGUUUGGUUUGUAUCUUAUGGUUGAGUUUUGUUAGGUUUGUUUUGCAUUUGCUUAUUUCUGGUUGGUUAUGGGUUUUGCAUUAAUUUAUUUUGGUUUCUCAUUUCAGGUAAUUUCCUUUUCAGGCUUUAUUUCUUUAGUAUAAUUUAAUAAAUUCAAUUUUCAUUUAAUGAGAAAAUCCUUGUGUGGUCUCCUUUAAUGUUACCCCACCAAACGAGCCUGGUGGACGUAACACUACCUAUUUAUACUGUGACACACCCAUGUCCCAAACUGAAAUUAAUCAACUAAUUAAGUGAAUUACUAACCAAAGAACCUAUUUGAAAAUAACAAAUUAAACAAACAUUCUAAUUAUAAAUCAACUAGAAAAUAAGCAAAUAAAAAUGAACUAAAUAAUAUAAAUUCCAAGAUUUAACUGAAAGUAGAUAAAUGGCUCCUACAAGACGACAUGACGAUAAAAACGUUAAAACUGAAGUGUGCGGCUGGUUCAGUUCUGGCAGCACAGCGGUGACUUUAUUGGAGUGCCCUGGCCUUUGCUGUCCACCAUUUUGGACCUGGUCAGAUACUUUAAAAAAACUAACAAACAUAUUGACCUCUUUACAGACGAACUAUCGUAAUGGUCUUUGAUCUGCAUUUGUUAUUCAAAGUGAACUAAAGUGAGUGCUUUGGUAGAAUUGCACCUGCUUAACUCACCAUCAGAUAGAAAUGAAAAGAAUUUAGCACAAUUGUCUGCCCCUUUAAACUUUCUUUUUUUUUUUUUUGGGACUGUUGGCUUUAUGAAAGUAGUUUUGCAAUUUUUCCCCACAUGUGGAAAUUAUUUUUUAUUUCAUAUCACUCAACACAGGCUACAAAACUUGCCUAUAUGGUACAACUGACAAGUUAUUUUUUGUAAGGUCCUUGUGCACCUCCCCUUUUCAAUAUCACUCUGGGCAACUGCCCAUAUGGCCAAUAUACAAAAGGCAACUGCACCCAGAAAAUCUUCACACAGAAUUUCAUGGCAAAUCAUUAUUGUUUUUCUUCAGCUUUUUGCAUAAAUCAAAAAACAUUUUUUAAAACUCUUAAUGUUAUAUAUAUAUAUAUAUUUUUGGACCAGUGAAGAUGGUGGGGCUCAAUUCAAAGUAAAGAAAUAACUUUUUUUUUUUUUACAUGCACACAUUUCUGCUCACGCGGUGUCACACCUCGUAAUGUCAAUAUUUACCAGGAUGCGUGUGCAUUUGCUACAUGUCCUUGCGUUUGUGUCAUGUUCUUUGUGAGCCUGUGUUUUGCACUUUUCAAGUGGCCCCUCUUUGAUAUGCCCUCCCGCAGCUGAAAGAGUAACUCGAGAGCUCGGCGCCCACAAUGCCGCUCUCACCUGUGUGCUUUGAUGUUACGACAGAGGCUAAGUAGACCAAGUCACGGAUAUCGCUGUCAGGCAACACACGUGAAGAGAUAUUCCCCGUGACCUUUUGUUGUGGCGAGUUCUCGGCUCACACCGGUCCAGCUGUCUUUGUUGUUUGCGGCUCUGAUGCACUCCUGUUACAAAGGCGGAUGGAUGGGUGUCAAGGCAGGGGUAGAAAGCAGCGCUCUUCCUCUGAUCAUCACUCCGGCUUUUUGACGACGGCAGGACUAUCAGACAACUUCUGUAUUACUGGUCCUUGUUUGUGUACAGUCUGUCCUUUUGUUUACUUUGUGUUCCCUUUCACUGGAUAUCUGUUGGGUCCAGUGCUUUAAUAUGCGUCUGCCAUAUUUACUUGGUGUUGCCUUUAAAAAAACAAACGAAAAAAACAGCACAGGUUAAUGCAUUAUUGAGAAAUAAAAGAAAUCAAGGUUUCAUUUAUUUUAUUUACAAAUAAAAAUCUGAACACUGGAUUGUGAAUUUUCAUUCAAUCCCCUUUCAAAUGCACAACACAUUUUCAGAUUUUUUUUUAUCUGCAAAAACUUUUCAAAUGAUGUAUCCUCUUCUUUCCAUUUCACAAUUGUGCAGUGAAUUGAGUUUGUCUAUUGCAUGGAUUGCUCAGUAAAUGCAUUGAGAUGUCAAGAAUAAACAUUUUGAUGGAUUUUUUU